rnacentral:rRNA from 1 species
UACAGAGGGUGCUAGCGUUGUUCGGAAUCAUUGGGCGUAAAGGGCGUGUAGGCGGUUUGUUAAGUCAUGUGUGAAAUCCCUCGGCUCAACCGGGGGAACGACGCAUGAAACUGGCAAGCUAGAGUACCAAAGGAGGGGGGUGGAAUUCCUGGUGUAGCGGUGAAAUGCGUAGAUAUCAGGAGGAACACCUGUGGCGAAAAGCGGCUCACUGGACCAUAAACUGACGCUGGAUGCACGAAAGCUAGGGGGAGCAAACAGG